rnacentral:rRNA from 1 species
GUAAUGCGUUAAGCUAACCAGUACUAAUUGCUCGUGCGGCUUGACCCUAUAACUUUG